CCUACGGGGGACAGCAGUGAGGAAUAUUGGUCAAUGGGCUUACGCCUGAACCAGCCAAGUCGCGUGAGGGAAGACUGCCCUAUGGGUUGUAAACCUCUUUUGUCAGGGAGCAACGCCGGCUACGUGUAGCCGGACUGAGAGUACCUGAAGAAAAAGCAUCGGCUAACUCCGUGCCAGCAGCCGCGGUAAUACGGAGGAUGCGAGCGUUAUCCGGAUUUAUUGGGUUUAAAGGGUGCGUAGGCGGACUGGAAAGUCAGCGGUAAAAUCGAGAGGCUCAACCUCUUUCCGCCGUUGAAACUGUCGGUCUUGAGUGGGCGAGAAGUAUGCGGAAUGCGUGGUGUAGCGGUGAAAUGCAUAGAUAUCACGCAGAACUCCGAUUGCGAAGGCAGCAUACCGGCGCCCGACUGACGCUGAGGCACGAAAGCGUGGGUAUCGAACAGGAUUAGAUACCCGAGUAGUC
rnacentral:rRNA from 1 species